GCCUGCAUCAAGAACAGCACGGACUAUCUUCUCAGGAUUCUGCUCCCAUCCCAGCCCGUAGGAAAAGGCUACUCCCAGGAACUCAUUAAUUCUAGAAAGAUUUCCAAAGAACUUGAAAGCCUGGGCUUGGCAGCUCUACUUGGCAUUGAGCUUAACAGCAGAAAAGAAGAAGGAAAUGGUUAUUCUCCAGUUGGAAACACACAGAAGGAUCUUAGUUAUUCACCUCUCAUGUCUGCAUUGAGGAUAAACUCUGAGGACUAUCGUUUGUCCAAGGCCUUUGCGACGAUCGAAAGGAAAGGACAAAACAGAGAUGCAGUCUUUUCAACAAUAGCGGAGUGAAGUGGACAGAGGGAAGUCUGUGGGCUUCCACUUGUGCCAGCACAGCAGAAGCCUGAGCUACUAGAAUCUUCCACUUCCAUAUACAGAGGAAGCUGCCCUCUCUUCCUUCCCUUUGUCUUUUUCAAAAAUAUUUAGAAGCACAAAGAUAAGGAGCAUAGUGUCCUUGCUUUGUUAGCCAGCCUGCUUCUUUCCUAAACACUUUAUUUGAUGCCAUAACAAACCAACAUACAAGAAAUGUUUGUAGUUUCCAAUCCAGAGUGAAGAAUGUUCAGAGAGGUCCAGGCCAUGAGUCAUCCUCCCCCUGUUUUGGGAUAAAUAAACCUCUGACAAGGCAACUGUCCAAGUAGAGCACUUUGCAGAUGCCAGGAAAACAGGCCAAAUCUUCAUUCAAGUGAAAUACAACACUUAAGUCAGAUUUGUCCUACAUGGUCAACAAGAGAGCCAUGGCAUAUAGAGCCAAGGUCAUCUGCUUGUGGUCUUUAAUUGUUGUUUGAUAUGUUGGGAAUGAAAACCAGGGUCUUAUGCACAGUAGGCCCUUACCGUACCAUUGAGGUAGCAAAGACCCUGGCACUUUGCUUCCCACACACAGAAUACUCACCCAUGUAUGCUGCCCAGUGGAGAGCUCGUCGGUCCUUCUUGUCGAAUGCAUUGAUGUUUGCCCCUUUGGCCAAGAGUAAAUUGACCAUCUGAAAGAUAACAAUGAACUCAGGUAUUCCCUCCAAUGAUGGCGGCUCCUUGUUGCUUCCAGGUGAUCUAAACCAAAUUAGCAUCAAGCCUAACAGCAGCUCAAGGAUUCAUACCAGGCAGACAGGCUGGCAAGACAGGCUAGCAAGACAGGCUACACUGCUCAUGUCAGAGGAGAAGACUGAAAUGACAAUCUACUGUUUCAACUCAUUACAGUCUGAAUUGAGAAUGGAUAUAACUGCCCAGACAACAUACCUCUCUUAUUCUCACAUUCACAUGAAGUCUCAAAAGUGGUUCCAUCUGUGGCUAAUAGGAUCUGAGCAGUGUGGCCCAGUUCCCCAUGCUGAGAACACUCACCUCCAUGUGUCCAUUCAGAGCGGCGUGGUGCAAGGCUGUGCGCCCGCCUCUGUCAGAGACGUUGACACUGCUCAGUAGCGGAAUGAUCACUUCUGCACACUUGACGGCCUUAUUGGCUGCUGCCACAUGGAGGGGGGUCUGCCAAUUCUUGUCCCUUGCAUUCACAUCGGCCGAGUGUUUAAUCAAUACUUGCACUGCCUCCUACAACAGAAACGGUUUGCAGGAUCACUGAUAAAUGCCCAUCAAUACUUCCUGUGGGUAAGGUGCUUCUCUGGACACAGGAACUGGAGUAAGAAAGGAAAGAUUGCUGCCCUCCCAGGCAGGCUGUGGACAAGCCAAGUCAUACAAAAUGAGGAGGAACACAAAAUGAGGCAACCUCCCCAUCUUCCUCUUUCAGGUCAAAAGCCUGACCCCCACCUGAGACUCCGUUCACCUUUUACAGACACAGCUUUCUGAUGAGGCAUCCUUGGAUCACCUGAUGUGCAUAGCAGGCAAAAGAUCUGUUAAAAAAAAGUUCUACAAAAAUGUCCUCUAAAACGAGAGGAGUCUGGGAAUAAACCAACAAACUCCCCAAGCCUGUCAAACAUUCUUGGACCACAUUUUGAAUCUGGGUUCUCUGUGCCAAUGUGUAACACGUGACCUUCCAUUUUGUGAGACUGCUACACAGGCAAAGGACGUAAUUAGUGGAUGUCUCAUUUUACAGCUAUAAUAAAAUGAUUCCAACUUUUCCAUCA
ensembl:antisense 4930444A19Rik RIKEN cDNA 4930444A19 gene